AUCAAAGAAACAACAUUUCAAAGCUUUUUCGAUCCACAUAAACCCAUUGGAAAAAAAUAUUGCGUGAAGUUGGUGUUUUUGUCCUAUCAAGUGCGACAUUAUGAAGGGCUUGUGACGUCACACGGUUGCUUGCUCAGCGGGAAGAGAAAAAGCGCGCGAAAGGAAGGCGACUGUCAUGGCCACAACACAAGCCAGUAGAAGUUUAUUUUGCGGAUUCCCGAGGCCACAAAAGCUGCAAAAAUUACGGCCUAACAAUUGACUUGUCAAUAUUCCUUCCACCCCUAAAAUGAGACGGUGCAAAUAGACUUAUCUGGUGUGAAAAUCGUCGAGGAAAUCAGAAUUUUGCACCUUUCGAACCUUAGGCAAUUUGAACAAGCUGCUACGUCGGAGCCAACGAGUUACGCAAAGUUGACAUUCUUGUAGCUAGGCACAGAAAAAUCGAUAGCGAAUCUAAGAGCAAUAUGGGGUUCGAACUGUGAAAUGGUUUUAGAGAGAAAUAAGUCUAUCAAGAAGGCAAAGUCGUCGAGAAAAUGGCAAGAGUUAGAAGGGGAAUGUGCAUCUACCCAGGUGACUACACAAAGAAGUUUUUUUCUCCACUUAGGGCUACAAAUAGGGGGAUCAAGUGUUUCCGGGGUGGCUAGUAUGAGGAUUUCAUGGAAAGGAGAUCCAAUGUCCUUUUUUAUGUUUUCAUACAAAAUCUCAGAGAUUAGUGGACCACAGCGGUCCACCCCAAGGUCCACCUUAGAUGGAGAAAGAAUGCUAUAGAGAGUUACCUAGCCUGCUAGUCCACCAUGGCUAAGCUUGCUGUCAUAUGCUAGGUGAAAAAGACUAUAAUCCAUCAUGUUGACCCUCGCCCUCAACUUUUCAUAGUACAGUAUGCAAAUAAUUUCUUCUCCUGUAUCUAUACUAUUAGCAGUAGAAUGUUUUUUUAAUAAAACCAUUUUUGCCAUUGCCCCCCUUCACAAGAUUGAAGUUAGAACCUAACGCAGUGCAACCAAGGGAUAAGUUUCAAAUACUCAUAAGCGCCAUGUAGAGUCAUUAGCAAUGGUAAAAAAAACAAGGAAGAAAUAAAAACUGUGAUCCAAUUAAAAAAAUAAUAGUAUUUCUAGCUAAUCAAAGACAAAAUGCAGACGUUGAGGAUCAAAGAAAGAACUUUUCAGUCACAAAAU